GAUGAAGAAGGCAGCGAAAUGCGAUAAGUCAUGCGAAUUGCAGAAUUCCAGUGAGUCAUCGAAUCUUUGAACGCACAUUGCGCCCUUUGGUAUUCCGAAGGGCAUGCCUGUUCGCGCGUCAUUAUCACCCCUCAAGCCCUCGGCUUGGUGUUGGACGGUUUGGUGGAGGCCCCCUCGGGGGCUCCUGCCCCUCCCAAAGACAAUGACGGCGGCCUCGUUGGACCCCCGGUACACUGAGUUCUUCACGGGACACGUAUCGGACACAUGGGUUUACGGGACACGGUCUGCCUCCCCUCAGGGAGAAUCUUUCUAAGGUUGACCUCGGAUCAGGUAGGGAUACCCGCUGAACUUAAGCAUAUCAAUAAGCGGAGGA
rnacentral:misc_RNA from 1 species